UUAAGCAUAUCAAUAAGCGGAGGAAAAGAAACCAACAGGGAUUGCCCCAGUAACGGCGAGUGAAGCGGCAACAGCUCAAAUUUGAAAUCUGGCCCUAGGCCCGAGUUGUAAUUUGUAGAGGAUGUUUCUGACGAGGUACCUUCCGAGUUCCCUGGAACGGGACGCCAUAGAGGGUGAGAGCCCCGUACGGUUGGUCGCCAAGUCUCUGUGAAACUCCUUCGACGAGUCGAGUAGUUUGGGAAUGCUGCUCUAAAUGGGAGGUAUACGUCUUCUAAAGCUAAAUAUAGGCCAGAGACCGAUAGCGCACAAGUAGAGUGAUCGAAAGAUGAAAAGCACUUUGAAAAGAGGGUUAAAUAGUACGUGAAAUUGUUGAAAGGGAAGCGCAUAUGACCAGACUUGGCCAGGUCAAUCAUCCAUCGUUCUCGGUGGUGCACUUUGCCUGGCCAGGCCAGCAUCAGUUCGCUUUGGGGGAUAAAGACUUUGGGAAUGUGGCUCCCUCGGGAGUGUUAUAGCCCAUUGUGUAAUACCCUGGAGUGGACUGAGGUUCGCGCAUCUGCAAGGAUGCUGGCGUAAUGGUCAUCUGCGACCCGUCUUGAAACACGGACCAAGGAGUCGUCUUCGUAUGCGAGUGUUCGGGUGUCAAACCCCUACGCGUAAUGAAAGUGAACGUAGGAGAGAGCUUCGGCGCAUCUCCGACCGAUCCUGAUGUUCUCGGAUGGAUUUGAGUAAGAGCAUACGGGGCCGGACCCGAAAGAAGGUGAACUAUGCCUGUAUAGGGUGAAGCCAGAGGAAACUCUGGUGGAGGCUCGCAGCGGUUCUGACGUGCAAAUCGAUCGUCAAAUAUGGGCAUGGGGGCGAAAGACUAAUCGAACCUUCUAGUAGCUGGUUUCCGCCGAAGUUUCCCUCA
rnacentral:rRNA from 1 species